UUUUUGUGUAAAGUUCCAAGAAAGGUAAAAAUUAAAAUCAAUUCAAAAUUUUCAACCAAAAUUUCAAGUUCCUUGUUCAAAUUUUCCAGAUUUCUUCAUCAAAGCCAUUGUUAUCAAGGAUUCAAGCAGAUUUUCGAGCUAGGUUCAUUAUUAAAGCAGAUUUCGUGGUGGAAAGAUUAGGUAGAUUAUGAAAAGUCAUUGAUUAUCAAGGAUUCAAGAAGAUUUUUGAGCUAGAUUCAUUAUUAAAGCAGAUUUCGUGGUGACAAGGGAUUAUGGUAUUUAUAUGCUAGCUUUUGCCGAAUACCUAUCAUAUGGCCAAGGUAUUCCAGCGAAUAUUUUGGAUGCAUCGAGUUUACGCUCAAGAUAUGCUACACUUCUUUGGAAUUAUGGCCAACAAAAGAAUGAUGUCGGAGCAAUAAGUGACAAUGAAGCACCUCCACGAUAUAGCAGAUUCAAUGUAGCAAUGGAGGAGAUUGAUACAAUUCAAAUAGAUUAGUUGUUGUCCAUUUUUUGAUGUGUAAUUGGACAUUAGUUUUUGUAUUCUAUGAAACGAUUUUAAAGGGUUCCAGUUCUUUUGUGUUUAUUAAUGUAUAAAAUCUUGAAGUUAUGGUUUCAAAGGUUUUGGGUUAA